GUUUAGAUGAGGUCAUGAAGGUGGGGUCCUCACAAUGGGAUUAGUGCCCUUAUAAGAAGAGACUCCAGGGCUUCCUCUCUACCACAUGAGGACAGAGUGAGAAGAUGGCUGUCUGCAACUGCCCUAAGGGCCAUCACAAGAACUCAACCGUGCAGGUCUUGAUCUCAGACUUCCAGCCUCCAGAACUGGGAAACGCCAUGUGAAGAUUAUGGAUUUCUGCUGCCACAAGCCAAGUAACUACCAGAAGCCAGGAGAGAGGGCUGGAGCAAGGGAGCCUGGCCCUGACGACACCUUGAUCUCAGACUUCGGGCCUCCAUAAUUGCACGAGCCACCAUGCCCGACCAGGACCGGUGUUCUUAUAAGAAGAGAGAGACAUCAGGAAUGGGUGUGUACAGAGAAAAGGACACAGCAAGAUGGUGGCCAUUUGCAAGCCAAGGAGAGAGACCUCAGGAGAAACCAACCCGCCAGCACCUUGAUCUUAGACUUCCAGUCUCCAAAAUUGGGAGAAAAUAAACGUUUGUUGUUUAAGACCCCAAUCUGAU
rnacentral:lncRNA from 10 species